GUCCAGACUCCUACGGGAGGCAGCAGUGAGGAAUAUUGGUCAAUGGGCGCGAGCCUGAACCAGCCAAGUCGCGUGAGGGAUGACGGUCCUACGGAUUGUAAACCUCUUUUGCCGGGGAGCAAGCGUGCGUUCGUGAACGCGCGUCGAGAGUACCCGGAGAAAAAGCAUCGGCUAACUCCGUGCCAGCAGCCGCGGUAAUACGGAGGAUGCGAGCGUUAUCCGGAUUUAUUGGGUUUAAAGGGUGCGUAGGCGGGACGGUAAGUCAGCGGUAAAAAUGCGGAGCUCAACUCCGUCGAGCCGUUGAAACUACCGUUCUUGAGUGAGCGAGAAGUAUGCGGAAUGCGUGGUGUAGCGGUGAAAUGCAUAGAUAUCACGCAGAACUCCGAUUGCGAAGGCAGCAUACCGGCGCUCAACUGACGCUGAAGCACGAAGGCGUGGGUAUCGAACAGGAUUAGAUACCCUCGUAA
rnacentral:rRNA from 1 species